rnacentral:rRNA from 1 species
CCCUUAGAUGUUCUGGGCCGCACGCGCGCUACACUGACGAUGGCAACGAGUUUUUCCUUCGCCGAAAGGUGUGGGUAAUCUUUUGAAACAUCGUCGUGCUGGGGAUAGAUCAUUGCAAUUUUUGAUCUUGAACGAGGAAUUCCUAGUAAGCGCGAGUCAUCAGCUCGCGUUGAUUACGUCCCUGCCCUUUGUACACACCGCCCGUCGCUACUACCGAUUGAAUGGUUUAGUGAGGACUCCUGAUUGACGCCGCCGCCCCGGCAACGGAGCAGUGGACUGCCGAAAAGUUGUUCAAACUUGAUCAUUUAGAGGAAGUAAAAGUCGUAACA